GGUGGAGAACCGGACUGGGGUGGCCAGCUGGGCUGAGAGCGGAGUGGGGUCAGAAUGGAUGAGGACGUGCUGACCACCCUGAAGAUCCUCAUCAUCCAUGAGUGUGGCGUGGGCAAGUCCAGCCUGCUCUUGAGGUUCAGAUGAUACUUUUGAUCCAGGACUUGCAGCAACGAUAGGUGUUGACUUUAAGGUGAAAACAAUUUCAGUGGAUGGAAAUAAGGCUAAACUUGCAAUUUGGGAUACUGCUGGUCAAGAGAGGUUCAGAACAUUAACUCCCAGCUAUUAUAGAGGUGCACAGGGUGUGAUAUUAGUUUAUGAUGUCACAAGAAGAGAUACCUUUGUUAAAUUGGAUAAUUGGUUAAAUGAAUUGGAAACAUACUCCACGAGAAAUGACAUAGUAAAGAUGCUAGUUGUAAAUAAAAUUGAUAAGGAAAAUCAUGAAGUCGAUAGAAACGAAGGCCUGAAAUUUGCACGAAAGCAUUCCAUAUUAUUUACAGAGGCAAGUGCAAAAACCUGUGAUGGUGUACAGUGUGCCUUUGAGGAACUUGUUGAAAAGGUCAUUCAGACGCCUGGACUGUGGGAAAGUGAGAACCAGAAUAAAGGAGUCAAACUGACACACAGGAAAGAAGGCCCUGGAGGAGGAGCCUAUGGUGGUUACUGUUCUAUGUUAUAAACUCUGGGAAACUCCAUCUCUUGCAUAUUUGAUCAGAGAGUGACAUCUUUCUGUAUAUAAACUUUAACUGCUAUUUUAGGAAUCUUGCAGUUUGCGCAUAUUUGUUUUGUAUCAUGGCAGUAAAUAUUUGCAAGAAAUCCCACUCAUCGGCUUUCCCAGGUACAAUGUUAUGGUAAGCAUGCACAGUUUGCAGUCUACAGUUUUUUAUGUAACAUAAAAUAGGUGUACUUUUUUAAGUACAUUUGAUUUUAUGAUUUACAUUUAUCAUGUGAUUUAAAAAAUCCACCUAUCUAGUCUAUGUUGGUACAAGGUCUACUUUUGGUCUCUUCCUUGCUUAAAUACUCCUCUAUCAAUUACUGAAUUAAUUGGUAUGUAGAACUCCCAGAACCACUGGGAGAUAUUCAGGUAUCAUCAAACCUGGCAAAUUUCCUUUCAGGAAUAACACAGAGCAUGAUUCCACAGCUUUUGUAGGAUGUUUGCUGACAGAUUCUCUUUUGGUACUAAGCGAAAUUCUCUACAGGAUGCAGUCCAGGCCAAUUUAUAAUUAAAUCUCUGUUCUGAUGAUGCUUCUAAAGUAGCAUUGAUGUGUUAAGAAGUUUGGUCUUGCUUUUAAAUUUUCUUCAAUGAGUAGCUCAGUUGCUUAACUGGAGUUUUAACUCUGUGAUAUGUACAUUGGAUUCUAACCCUUUGUGCAGCAUUUUUAGUUAUGUGGUGUUUGGCAGAAUGACAAUAAGGUUUUCCCCCAUUUUGGUUUUGGAAGGAUGAGAAUAGUGUGUUUAUGUAACUCAUGUAGUACUUUCCUUACCACUUUAAAAAGCAACACUUUUUCCAUAGUUGUUGGUGGGGUUUGUCCAGGUACCUCAAUUGUAGCUUGUGUCAUGUUUAUGAACAUCUGUAUCUUAUGACUUCCCUAAAUGGCUAGUUGAUAUUCAGAAACCUAUAUCUGUGUUUUGAGGGUUGGGAAAAAUAGAACCCUAAGUGACAAUAUGAGAAAGACAAAUUGCUUCCAGAUUUUGAUGUGUGUGGGAAAAUACUGUUGCAAUGAAAAUCUUGGUAAUUUACUGUAACAAGUAGCCAAUAGUUUAUCAAAACCAACUUGUACAGACUAAUAAAUCUAUUCCACAGUAUUCAGAUUUCUAACCUCUUGCUAUUUUACAUUGCCUAUUUUUUUCACUCAUAUGUAUUUAAUUUAACAUUGUUAUCUGCUAUAUUAAGCCCCCAAGUAAGUUAUUUGUCCUUUCAAGCAGGUUACCAUAAUACCCCUCAGUAAGAUUUCUGAUAUUAAUUUCUGGGCAGUUUGUUCUUUGUAUACAGUUGCAAAUGAUAGAUUUUUUCCUGGAUCACCUUUGCAAUAACUUGUGAUAGUGGAUUUACUUCAGGUUGGAUUCUUUCUGAACUGUACAUCUUCGCAUAAGAAAACCUUACAUUCUACUUGGUUCACACUUGUGAGACCACAUUACAUGUGAUUAAAGGUUUUAUACAUUAUAUAUGUAUUUACUAAAUAUAAAACAUUUACUCCUUUGCUGUUGGAGAAAGGUAGCUAACACAUGUACUUACGAUUUGUUUGUGUUACAUUAAAGCUGUAGAUUUGUA